UACGUAGGGUGCGAGCGUUAAUCGGAAUUACUGGGCGUAAAGCGUGCGCAGGCGGUCUGUUAAGACCGAUGUGAAAUCCCCGGGCUUAACCUGGGAACUGCAUUGGUGACUGGCAGGCUUUGAGUGUGGCAGAGGGAGGUAGAAUUCCACGUGUAGCAGUGAAAUGCGUAGAGAUGUGGAGGAAUACCGAUGGCGAAGGCAGCCGUCCU
rnacentral:rRNA from 1 species